ACGGUCCUAAGGUAGCGAAAUUCCUUGUCGGGUAAGUUCCGACCCGCACGAAUGGCGUAACGACUUGGGCACUGUCUCAACAUGGGACCCGGCGAAAUUGUAGUAUGUGUGAAGAUGCACAUUACCCGCGAUAGGACGGAAAGACCCCGUAGAGCUUUACUGUAGUUUAACAUUGGAUUUCGGUAACAUAUGUACAGGAUAGGUGGGAGGCGAAGAACCAGGGACGCCAGUUUCUGGGGAGCCGACCUUGGGAUACCACUCUUGUGUUAUUGGAGUUCUAACGAAUUGCCGUGACCCGGGAUUCGGACAGUGUUAGAUGGGCAGUUUGACUGGGGCGGUCGCCUCCCAAAGAGUAACGGAGGCGUCCAAAGGUUCCCUCAGAAUGGUUGGAAACCAUUCGCAGAGUGUAAAGGCAGAAGGGAGCUUGACUGCGAGACCGACAGGUCGAGCAGGUGCGAAAGCAGGGCUUAGUGAUCCGGCGGUAUGAGAGUGGAAUUGCCGUCGCUCAACGGAUAAAAGCUACCUCGGGGAUAACAGGCUGAUCUCCCCCAAGAGUCCACAUCGACGGGGAGGUUUGGCACCUCGAUGUCGGCUCAUCGCAUCCUGGGGCUGUAUUCGGUCCCAAGGGUUUGGCUGUUCGCCAAUUAAAGCGGCACGCGAGCUGGGUUCAGAACGUCGUGAGACAGUUCGGUCCCUAUCCAUCGUGGGCGCAGGAGAUUUGAGAGGAGCUGUCCCUAGUACGAGAGGACCAGGAUGGACGCACCAAGGGUGAAUCAGUUGUUCUGCCAAGAGCAUAGCUGGGUAGCCAAGUGCGGAUCGGAUAAACGCUGAAGGCAUCUAAGCGUGAAGCCGACCUCAAGAUAAGAUCUCCCACCAGAAAUGGGUAAGACCCCUGGAAGACUACCAGGUUGAUAGGUCGGAGGUGGAAGUGCAGCAAUGCAUGCAGCUGACCGAUACUAAUAGGUCGAGGGCUUGAUCAA
rnacentral:rRNA from 1 species